GGAGAGAUGCUAGAGUGGUUAAUAGGGCUACCUGCUAAGUAGUUUUCCAAUAGGAUUCACAGGUUCAAAUCCUGUUCUUUCCG
rnacentral:tRNA from 1 species